GUAACACGUAGGUAACCUGCCUUUAGUUGGGAUACCCGAGAGGAAACUUUGGACUAAUACCGGAUAUGAAUUUUGGAGGCAGUCUCCGGAAAUUUGAAAGGAGCGUUUGCUCCGCUUUAAGAUGGACCUGCGGCGCAUUAGCUAGUUGGUGAGAUAACAGCCACCAAGGCGAGGAUGCGUAUCCGAUCUGAGAGGAUGACCGGACACAUUGGAACUGAGACACGGUCCAAACUCCUACGGGAGGCAGGCAGUAAGGAGUUUUCGGCAAUGGGGGAAACCCUGACCGAGCAACGCCGCGUGAGCGAAUGACGGCCCUAUGGGUUGUAAAGCUCUGUUGUAAGGGACGAAUGGUGGAGUCAGGAAAUGGGCUCCAUUUGACGGUACCUUACCAGAAAGCCACGGCUAACUACGUGCCAGCCGCCGC
rnacentral:rRNA from 1 species